GCUGGGCUGGCUGAGUGGUAGAGCAUUUGCUUAGUAUAUGCAAAGCCAGAGGUUGAAUCCUCAGCACUGCA
rnacentral:tRNA from 1 species